AACGAACGCUGGCGGCAUGCCUAACACAUGCCAGUCGAACGAGACCUUCGGGUCUAGUGGCGCACGGGUGCGUAACGCGUGGGAAUCUGCCCUUGGGUUCGGAAUAACAGUUGGAAACGACUGCUAAUACCGGAUGAUGACGUAAGUCCAAAGAUUUAUCGCCCAAGGAUGAGCCCGCGUAGGAUUAGCUAGUUGGUGAGGUAAAGGCUCACCAAGGCGACGAUCCUUAGCUGGUCUGAGAGGAUGAUCAGCCACACUGGGACUGAGACACGGCCCAGACUCCUACGGGAGGCAGCAGUGGGGAAUAUUGGACAAUGGGCGAAAGCCUGAUCCAGCAAUGCCGCGUGAGUGAUGAAGGCCUUAGGGUUGUAAAGCUCCUUUACCCGGGAUGAUAAUGACAGUACCGGGAGAAUAAGCUCCGGCUAACUCCGUG
rnacentral:rRNA from 1 species